rnacentral:rRNA from 1 species
UACAGAGGGUGCAAGCGUUAAUCGGAAUUACUGGGCGUAAAGCGUGCGUAGACGGUUUCGUAAGUCGGGUGUGAAAGCCCCGGGCUCAACCUGGGAAUUGCAUUCGAGACUGCGUAGCUAGGGUGCGGAAGAGGGAAGCGGAAUUUCCGGUGUAGCGGUGAAAUGCGUAGAUAUCGGAAGGAACAUCAGUGGCGAAAGCGGCUUCCUGGUCCAGCACCGACGUUCAGGCACGAAAGCGUGGGGAGCAAACAGG